rnacentral:tRNA from 1 species
CAGAAAAUAGUUUAAUUAAAAUAUUAAUUUUGGAUAUUAAUGAUAGAUUUAUUUUUUUUUUCUGA